rnacentral:lncRNA from 1 species
CGAUUCAACCUAUCCAACAUCUACCAAAAAUGACAAGUCGCAGCAGGGAUGCCUCCGCCGCUGUAACUUCUGUGACUAUGAAACAGAAAGUCUGUUUCAGCUGAAAGAACACAUCAGGAUCCACAUAGGCAAGCUUCGAUUUCAAUGCAAUUUGUGCCCUCGGAGCUUCUUGCGAAAGUGCAGACUCGUGGACCACCUACGCAUCCACACCGAAAAGCCAUUUCAGUGCCCUUCAUGCCCUCAGAGGUUCCCGUGCAAGGACACCCUAAAGGAACACCGGCGAAUCCACACAAGCGACCAUCCCUUUCAGUGCCAUUUUUGCCAUAACACCUUUGCGCGUAACGACAGCCUCAAGGAACACCUACGCACCCACACGGGUGAGCGACCACACCGCUGCACAAUCUGCUUCAUGUCCUUUGUGCAGCGUGGUCACUUGAACACUCAUAAGAAGAAAAAGCACCAAGACACCACUUAAUAGGUCACUUCCCAUGUUGAUGUACUUUAUGUAUUAAGAGCAGUCUGAAUUGUGGAUCUAAAUAUGUAUGCAUUGGGGUGAAUGGCUUUCUGUUGCAGCAGGAUGCACAAGUGUUGCGAUAUGUUCUUAUAUGUUGAGCUGCCGAGUGAGGAUAAUCGAACAAGUUGCAGUGACAUACGUUGAAUGACAUAUGUUGUAGUGGCAUUGCUUGCAUUUUGGCAACUGUGUUCAUUUGGUAUCUCUUCAUGUGAAGGCACAAUGAGUAGGAAGCGAUCAUCCGUCAACUAUGCAUGGAAAACACCUGUGUUUGCAAUAAAAUAGUGAUGAUAAAUUUUAAA